UACGUAGGGGGCAAGCGUUGUCCGGAUUCAUUGGGCGUAAAGAGCGUGUAGGCGGCCAGGUAGGUCGGUUGUGAAAACUGGAGGCUCAACCUUCAGAGGUCGACCGAAACCAUCUGGCUAGAGUCCGGGAGAGGAGAGUGGAAUUCCUGGUGUAGCGGUGAAAUGCGCAGAUAUCAGGAAGAACACCCGUGGCGAAAGCGGCUCUCUGGAACGGUACUGACGCUGAGACGCGAAAGCGUGGGGGAGCGAAACAGGG
rnacentral:rRNA from 1 species